rnacentral:rRNA from 1 species
CUCGUAGGCGGCUCGUCGCGUCCGGUGUGAAAGUCCAUCGCUUAACGGUGGAUCUGCGCCGGGUACGGGCGGGCUGGAGUGCGGUAGGGGAGACUGGAAUUCCCGGUGUAACGGUGGAAUGUGUAGAUAUCGGGAAGAACACCGAUGGCGAAGGCAGGUCUCUGGGCCGUCACUGACGCUGAGGAGCGAAAGCGUGGGGAGCGAACA